rnacentral:rRNA from 1 species
CCUACGGGAGGCAGCAGUGGGGAAUAGUGGGCAAUGGGCGCAAGCCUGACCCAGCAACGCCGCGUGAAGGAAGAAGGCUUUCGGGUUGUAAACUUCUUUUCUCAGGGACGAAGCAAGUGACGGUACCUGAGGAAUAAGCCACGGCUAACUACGUGCCAGCAGCCGCGGUAAUACGUAGGGGGCAAGCGUUAUCCGGAUUUACGGGGUGUAAAGGGCGUGUAGGCGGGACUGCAAGUCAGAUGGGAAAACCCCGGGCUCAACCUGUUGCCUGCAUUUGAAACGGUAGUUCUUGAGUACUGGCGCGGCAGCCGGCAUUCCUCGUGUAGCGGUGCAAUGCGUAGAUCUU